rnacentral:rRNA from 1 species
UACGAAGGGGGCUAGCGUUGUUCGGAAUUACUGGGCGUAAAGCGUGCGCAGGCGGCUUCUCAAGUCAGGGGUGAAAGCCCAGAGCUUAACUCUGGAAUUGCCUUUGAGACUGAGAGGCUUGAGUACGGGAGAGGUGAGUGGAAUUCCCAGUGUAGAGGUGAAAUUCGUAGAUAUUGGGAAGAACACCGGUGGCGAAGGCGGCUCACUGGCCCGUAACUGACGCUCAUGCACGACAGCGUAGGGAUCAAACAGG